GACGAACGCUGGCGGCGUGCUUAACACAUGCAAGUCGAACGGUGAAGCGCCUUCCUUUUUGGUGGGUGUGGAUGAGUGGCGAACGGGUGAGUAACACGUGAGUAACCUGCCCCCUUCUUCUGGAUAACCGCAUGAAAGUGUGGCUAAUACGGGAUAUUCUGGGUCUGUCGCAUGAUGGGUCUGGGAAAGAUAUUGUUUCGGUGGGGGAUGGGCUCGCGGCCUAUCAGCUUGUUGGUGGGGUGAUGGCCUACCAAGGCGGUGACGGGUAGCCGGCCUGAGAGGGUGUACGGUCACACUGGGACUGAGACACGGCCCAGACUACUACGGGAGGCAGCAGUGGGGAAUAUUGCACAAUGGGCGCAAGCCUGAUGCAGCGACGCCGCGUGAGGGAUGGAGGCCUUCGGGUUGUGAACCUCUUUCGCCAGUGAAGCAGGCCUGCCUCGUUUGUGGGUGGGUUGACGGUAGCUGGAUAAGAAGCGCCGGCUAACUACGUG
rnacentral:rRNA from 1 species